rnacentral:tRNA from 1 species
CGGGAUGUAGUUCAGCCCGGUUAGAAUGCCUGCUUUGGGAGCAGGAGGUCGUGAGUUCGAAUCUCGCCAUCCCGA